AACGCGAAGAACCUUACCAGUCCUUGACAUGUCUCGUAUGGGUUUGAGAGAUCAAAUCCUUCGGUUCGGCCGGCGAGAACACAGGUGCUGCAUGGCUGUCGUCAGCUCGUGUCGUGAGAUGUUGGGUUAAGUCCCGCAACGAGCGCAACCCUUGUCCUGUGUUGCCACUCCGUAAGGAAGCACUCUCAGGAGACCGCCAGCGAUAAGUUGGAGGAAGGUGGGGAUGAUGUCAAGUCAUCAUGGCCUUUAUGUCCAGGGCUACACACGUGCUACAAUGGUCGGUACAAAGCGCUGCAAACCCGCGAGGGGGAGCUAAUCGCAAAAAGCCGGCCUCAGUUCGGAUUGCAGGCUGCAACUCGCCUGCAUGAAGCUGGAAUCGCUAGUAAUGCCGUAUCAGAAUGAUGGCGUGAAUACGUUCCCGGGCCUUGUACACACCGACUGUAC
rnacentral:rRNA from 1 species